rnacentral:rRNA from 1 species
AGGGUUUGAUUAUGGCUCAGGAUGAACGCUAGCUACAGGCUUAACACAUGCAAGUCGAGGGGCAUCAGGGUGUAGCAAUACACCGCUGGCGACCGGCGCACGGGUGAGUAACACGUAUCCAACCUGCCCUUUACUCGGGGAUAGCCUUUCGAAAGAAAGAUUAAUACCCGAUGGUAUAACAUGACCUCCUGGUUUUGUUAUUAAAGAAUUUCGGUAGAGGAUGGGGAUGCGUUCCAUUAGGCAGUUGGCGGGGUAACGGCCCACCAAACCUUCGAUGGAUAGGGGUUCUGAGAGGAAGGUCCCCCACAUUGGAACUGAGACACGGUCCAA